UCGCUGCACACUGUCCACUUCAAUUUGUUUUCUUGCCAGCUAGGUUCAAGCCAAGUUUACACCUCCUGAGGCCUCUGCAGAAGAGUCAGGAAGGGUUAUUGAGAAAGGCAGUCCAUGGGAGUGGCCAGGGGAGACUGAGCUUGCCAGAGGCACCGCUCAGAGCUGUUUCUUGUGCUCAGAAUUGGGGUUCUCAAACUUUACGCAGCACACAAUGCAGUGAAGGGCUUCAGUGCUGGGCCCCAAGUGCACGACCAGCGGAGUGGGACUGAAUAGGUUUCAGAGGUGGAGCUGAGAAUGUACAUUUCCACAUGGCGCUGACACUGCUCGCCUGCUGACCACUGGAGCAGCUCUGCUGGAAGCUGAGAGCCCGCCAGGCCUCUGGAGAUAGUUUGUGCAUCUCCCCCUGGUGUUUCAGUGUGAGGGGCUCCACUUUGAAGUCCAGCCAGCAAAGCAUCAGCAUGGGGCCUUCCAAUGGCUGCAGCCUCCAGGAAUCUGCAGUCAGUCUGCUAGCAGGCAGCUUCUCUCCCCUGCUGCCUGGGCCUGACAGAGAACACGCUUGGAACAGGGGACAAGAUAAUGAUCAAAGGAAAACUUAGAGUGAGAGCUAUGGAGCUACAGCAAAGCCAUGUGAUUGACAUGGAGUUGGGUAAAGAGGAAGCCAUUGGCCCCUGGGCUUCAGGUUUGGAAUUCUGCCAGGAGUGAACUGGGACUCAGCCUUCCCCAACUCAGAAUGGGAGAGAUGGAGGCCUAGCAUGAAGGUAUCAGAAGGCUGCUUUCUUUUAACCCGACUUGCCCAUUCCUGGCUUUUCCGCCUGGGGUUUACCUUGACCCUGAAUAAUAUGGACCAAAGAAAAGAAGAAGGAAAAAGAAGAAAACUCCACCGCUCCUUGUUGCACUGCUUAGAAGGCUGUGUUGGGAGCUCUGUGGGUAUGCCUCUGUGGGUAUGCCUCUUGGUGACUGCUCUUGUCGAUCAUGUGGGGCUUGUGUGGUGAGUCUUGCUGGGCACUGGAGACGCAACAACUUUUUAGACAAGUUUCUCUUUGACAUGGUCCUGGGCUCUUCUCAUUCCCCUCCUUGUCAGACCAUGAGUAUCUGUCCCCAUACACCGUGCGGCCUCUGCUCACAGGUCUUCUUGGCAUGCACUUUGCUUGGCUGAGCUGGCCCUGCUGCAUCUUGUCUUUCCCGUUGAGCAUAUUUUUACCCUUUCAGUCUCAUCUCAGGAAUGUUUCUGCUGGGUUCUUCUUUCCUUGUGUUUCCACUGAAAUCUGUCACGCCUAGGUCCAUGUCACAUGAAAUGGCUCAUUGCCUUUCUCACCAAAUGUCGUACACUCUUCUAAGGGUAGAGUCUGAGGCUCAUUCAUCUCCAUCUCAUUCACAGAGGUAUGGCACUGGGCACGCAGUAGGUUCUUAAGAGGCGAUGGAUGAAUGAAAGAGUGACGGGGAGGAGUGGCCCACGCUCCGGUGGACAUGCCAGCUUUGCUCUCCUGGCCAUAUGCAUUGGUGGAGAAGAUUUUGCCACCAAAAUAGGUUCACUGAUUCCCUUCACAUAACAAGAUUUGUCAGGACCAGGCAGGAAGAGGCAUAGAAAAGAUUUAAUUGGCAGAAUAAAAGCACACACUCAGAAGACAGUGUAGGGUCACAUAGUGUGGGAGGCACUAUGGUCUGGAGCUGUAUAAAUUAAUUUAUGUGUUUUGGAGAGUCGGAAUCUGUGGAAUUUGUGAAUGUUUUAAUGGUCUCAGUUAACAAGUGAAAGGCAGCAACCAUUUCUACAAGUUAAAGAUGAUGGCCCACUUCCCAUCAGAUGUAUGUUUUUAAGACUUAGGAAUUUAGGAGUGAGUAUCCCAGAAAGGAGAAAAGAAAGUAAUUGUAACCUUGGGUAAUUUUGUGUCCUGAAGAUGGAGUUUGUAGAGUAGUUUUAGAAUUAUGAUUUUCCUCCUCUUCUUUCUACUUAUCCUACCUGAUUACAACCACCAAAGUGGUAUCUUGUGCUCGGGGUGCUCAGUGAAGGAAUGAUCACAUCUUCUCUCCAACAAAGAUGAGGAGCACAUUUUGUAGCUUGUAUUUUUGCACUGGUUCUUAUUAAAGAGUGAACCACUGGAAGAAGGGAGAGAAGGACACCCCAGAGGUUGAGAGCAGCAGAAGUAAAGCUCAGGCCACAGUCACUCUUGAUUACUCCAUGAGUGUAGGGGGUGGAAACAAAUGAUAAGGGGGAAUGGGAAAACAAAGAGGGAAAGAAAAUAACUAACACAGAAUGUAGUACCAUUUUAAAAUCUUUUAUCAUAAUGAGCUCCUAGACCCCCCCCAUGCUGAGCUCCAACAGUGAUCAAAUCUUGGCCAAUAUUGUUUACAUCUAGCAUCCCACUGAAUCCUCACCUCCAUGACCAGUGAAACAAUUGGAGGCGAUUCCACAGGUAAUGUUUAAUCAUAAGUAUUUCAGUACGUGCCAUGAAUGAGUCAGCUUUCCCAUCCAUUGCUGGACAAAAUACUGAACACAACUUAAAGGAGGAGAGGGGUCUUCGGUCUGCAGUCAGCUGGCUCCAAGGCAGCAAGAUCCUGGUUGAGCUUGGCCAAGCAAAGCUGCUUCUUUCAUGGUGGCCAGGGACCAGAGCUGGGAAGCCUUACCAGACAGGAAGAAAGGAGGGACCAUAAAUAGUACCCAAAGCCACACCCCCAAGCCCUUCCCAGACACACUCAGGCAUGCCCUCUGCUAACAUGCUAGAUGUUUCUUAAUUCACCAAGGUUGACAUAGUAGGAUAAUGGUGACACACUGUUAAAAGAGGGGGACUUUAUUUUGGCUUUGUUUUCUGAAAUGUACAUAACCGCAAUGUGAUUGUCAUACAGCAAACAUUCUACAGUGAUUACUUAAUACUAUGCAGUACGCAAUAAAAACACAGUGUCCAGUUCUU